GCCGGGAUGGCGGAAUUGGUAGACGCCUGGGAUUUAAAAUCCCAUGGACCUUAAAGUCCGUGCCGGUUCAAGUCCGGCUUCCGGCA
rnacentral:tRNA from 1 species